rnacentral:lncRNA from 1 species
CUGAAAACCUACAGAACAGUAGAUCUCCAGGAAAAGGGUUGGGCAGCCCUGCACUAUACAGAUGCAGUAGGCCUAUAACUUCCAUGUUCAACUAUAGACCUCUUCAGACCCCCAGAUGGUGACUCAACUCCCAAGACGAAAGAGGGAAACAGAGGGAGGUGGACCGAUAAAAGCAGGAAAGGGCGGAAGAAAUGAAAGGGACUGAAGUAAAGAGAGGGAGAGAGAGAUACAAUCAGUCCAUGAGUCCUUGAGAGAGAGAGAAUGUCUGAACUCCCUCUCACGGCAGGAGAUCGGCCAGUUAAAGAAUGAUUGGGAAAGAAUGGGGUGCUACAGUGGGAAGCAAAGGAGAGAGGGGUGGAACAUAACUCACACGGAAGAACAAUGGAGGAAGAGAAGAAUAUGAAAAAAACAC